GGGGCGUCGCCAAGUGGUAAGGCAACGGGUUUUGGUCCCGCUAUUCGGAGGUUCGAAUCCUUUCGUCCCAG
rnacentral:tRNA from 53 species